UACGGGGGGAGCAAGCGUUGUUCGGAUUUACUGGGCGUAAAGGGCGCGUAGGCGGCCACCGCAAGUCGGUUGUGAAAUCUCUGGGCUUAACCCAGAAAGGUCAACCGAUACUGCGGGGCUAGAGUGCAGAAGGGGCAACUGGAAUUCUCGGUGUAGCGGUGAAAUGCGUAGAUAUCUGGAAGAACACCAAAGGCGAAGGCAGCGUCCUGGCGAGUCACUGACGCUCAGGUGCGAAAGCUAGGGGAGCGAACGGG
rnacentral:rRNA from 1 species